rnacentral:misc_RNA from 1 species
CAUAGCCUUUCCAUCAUCUUAGCCUCAUCCACCCCAAAUUUUGAGGCAUACAUCUUUUUAGCAAAGUUUGUCAAGGUGAAAGCCCAACCAUGCAAACCAGCAGAAAAAGCAACAGUUCCUUUCUCAGGGUAGACCUGACAAUCACCAAGUAAAGGAUCUUCAUAAGUUGCCAUGAUGACAUUAGCAUUUUCAAUGACCCUCUGGAAUGUUUGAUAAGCCUCCUCUCCAUCAACCUGGAGCUCAAGGAAGCACCUGUCCAUCUUGUUGACAGUCAAGACAGGCCUGAUCCUUUCACCCAAGGCCUGACGGAGAACAGUUUCAGUUUGGACACAGACACCUUCUACACAAUCAACCACCACGAGUGCACCAUCAGUAAUGCGAAGAGCAGCUGUGACUUCAGAUGAAAAGUCAACAUGUCCAGGGGAAUCAAUGAGAUUGAUAAGGUACUCAUUUCCGUUCCUCUCUCCCUUGUAACUUUUGAGGGCUUCAUCACUCAUUUCAUAGUAGAGUGAGAUACCAGUAGAUUUAAUUGUAAUACCACGCUCUGCUUCAUCCUGUCGGGUAUCAGUCAUACGGACAUCACCAGCAACUUCUUGUGCUAUGAUACCAGCAGCAGCCACAAGAGAGUCUGUAAGUGUUGACUUCCCAUGAUCGACAUGGGCAAUGACAGACAUGUUUCGAAUGUUGUGCUUGAAGUCCAUAAUACGACGAAGCUCCUCAGCUGUAAACUUCACCAUUUUUGCUAGUCCUUAAAUGUCACCAGAACAAUCAAAAUAAAACCUGAAGGAAGAAAAAGACAGAGGAGACUCUAGAGAGUGAGAUAAGAAGAGGCAGGCUCUGUU